rnacentral:rRNA from 1 species
GACGAACGCUGGCGGCAUGCCUAAUACAUGCAAGUCGAACGCUGAAGCUCUCUGCUUGCAGAGAGUGGAUGAGUGGCGAACGGGUGAGUAACACGUGGGGAACCUGCCCAUGAGAGGGGGAUAACAUUCGGAAACGGAUGCUAAUACCGCAUAGGUACAAGACACGCAUGUGUCCUGUAUGAAAGACGGCUUCGGCUGUCGCUCAUGGAUGGCCCCGCGGCGUAUUAGCUAGUUGGUAAGGUAAUGGCUUACCAAGGCAUUGAUACGUAGCCGACCUGAGAGGGUGAUCGGCCACACUGGGACUGAGACACGGCCCAG